UAGGGAGUCUUCCACAAUGGGCGAAAGCCUGAUGGAGCAACGCCGCGUGUGUGAUGAAGGGUUUCGGCUCGUAAAACACUGUUGUAAGAGAAGAAUGACAUUGAGAGUAACUGUUCAAUGUGUGACGGUAUCUUACCAGAAAGGAACGGCUAAAUACGCGCCAG
rnacentral:rRNA from 1 species